UAAGGCUUUAAGUUAAUGAAACUAAUAGCCUUCAAAGCUAUAAAUAUAAGUGAAAUCUUUUAAGCCUUAA
rnacentral:tRNA from 1 species